rnacentral:rRNA from 1 species
UCGGGAAUUUUGGGCAAUGGGGGAAACCCUGACCCAGCAACGCCGCGUGAAGGAUGAAGUAUUUCGGUAUGUAAACUUCGAAAGAAUAGGAAGAAUAAAUGACGGUACUAUUUAUAAGGUCCGGCUAACUACGUGCCAGCAGCCGCGGUAAUACGAAGGGGGCUAGCGUUGUUCGGAAUUACUGGGCGUAAAGCGCACGUAGGCGGACUCUUAAGUCAGGGGUGAAAUCCCGGGGCUCAACCCUGGAAGUGCAUCUGAAACUGCUUGGCUUGAGUACAGAAGAGGUAAGUGGAAUUCCUGGUGUAGUGGUGAAAUACGUAGAUAUCAGGAGGAACAUCGGUGGCGAAGGCGGCUUACUGGUCUAGUACUGACACUGAGGUGCGAAAGCAUGGGGAUCAAACAGGAUUAGAUACCCCCGUAGUCCCUGAGCGGGCUGGCAAGGCGCAU